GUAUAGUACGUACAAUAGUAGCAAAAAGUUAUUGGAAUUUGAUUUUGGCGAAUAUUAUGCUCUUCUCAUAUAAGACGGACCAUAUUCGGAAAAAAACCAACAAUCGACGUAUGAGCUAACGAAGUGCAAAUCCAUAGAGUUCGUUCCGAACAAUUUGGGUAUAUGCAGUUCACGCUUGAUUUCACCACGUUGCGCCUUGUUGCAUCGAAGUGUGCACUGACGGAUACGUGCUGUAUCGUACGUGCUGUACAUGCUAUCAGGAAAUGACAGAAUAAUCGGCAGGACGUGAGCAGUUCUCCGAAUAUUAUACGCUAUUAUAUACAUAUAAUGCGAAGAGUAUCACGAUGGUAAUGUAAUUAGAGAUUGUAAGCAACUGCAAGAAGCGAUUAAUCAUGGAGCUGCCGGCAAUUUGGUGUACAUACACUGGCCCGUGCUCGAUUCUGCUGCAUCGAACCGCAUACAUGUUGCACAGAUGCGCUUCGGCAGUUACCCAGAGUGCACUUGUGCUAUGCACUACCGGUCUGCACAUUACUGCAGCAUAUAUCGUAACGCAGCGUUCUUCAAUCAACAUUCCGUGGGACCGAAGUCAUUUCUACAAUUUUGUGUUACUUAGCAAACAAUUAAGAGACAAAGGGAGAACUUAAAAUGAAUUAAAUUAAAUCAAAAUUUCUACGUUAAAUUUAUAAUAUCAAAUUACUCAAUUCAAAAUUAUCAGUAUCAAAGUACCUAAUUUAAGUCCUUUUUUAAUUCUUUUUAUAUUUUAUCCACAUUAAUCCUUUUUAAUUCUUUCUAUAU